GUCAAUGUAUCUCAAUUUGAGAAUUUUUAGAUAUUUAUAUUAGAAAACAAGACGAAAAAACCUAGGUAAGUCAAUAAUUUUUUGCAGUGUGAGGGAGAAGCAGCAAGCCCUGAGGGAACGUAGUGAACGAGCAGCUUCGGAUGACAGCGGCUCACUUUUGGCGUUGCUUGACAACACUUUGAGGCAGGAUAAAAAGCUCCAGGAACAAUUUCGUUAGAGUAUCUUCUCUAAUCACCUUUCCAUUAAUACAACCUGGACUGGUGUAGGGAAUCAAGCAUGUUUUAGAGACCUGUUUCUGAAGACCAUUGUUCAAAGAGCCAUCCGGAAGAACCCUGCAACCCAGGAUGCCACUGAUUGGGCUGUCCAGGUUAAUAUUACGUGUUACCUGAAAGGAGCAUCUGACCGUAAAGGCGGAAAAAGGCUGUACACAGCUGAGAGGGACCCACAGAUGACCUCUUAAACCGAGGCUGACUACUGACACCCCAGCAUCGCUGACAACUGGAAACCUUUCUUUAUCCUGCAGUCAGUAACAUAAAGAAUCCUGAAGUGUCACACUACACUCAACCAAUCCACACUUCACUUUGAAAAUUACUAUUCUUUUAUUUUUCAAAUUCCAUGUGACCCUGCCUUAAGGGCAGCUCCUCGGAUAGAUAUGGAAUGGCGAGGAUGUUUGUCCUUUAGGUCCCUUGAGGAUCAAUCAAGUAUUCGUUCAUUUUUAAUUCACAAUAGACAGAUCUUAUUGCAGCAAAGUGAAAAUAUUGUGUUCCAGGUCAGCAGUGCCAUUAUAAUAGUCUAUUCUAGUCCAGAGCUUUACUCUAGGAUAAGUGGUAAUAAUUUAUUGUUAGAAAUUACGAUUUAUUUGGUACGCUGCACGUUCUUUGGUACCAAAUAUCCUCAUUACUUAAUUUUAUGUUUACUGGUAGCCAAAUUCUUUUUAUCCCAGAGCUGACCUCUAAAUUAUUAACAAUUGUUGUAAAUGAUAUGUUCUAAUUUGCUUGAAAUGUUAUUUUAAACUAGAAUUUAUUUGGAAACCUGCAUGUUUUUUAGUACUUUUUUAUUUUUCAGUUAUUUAUUGUUAGGAAGGCUUUAAGACUGUUAGGUUCUGAUUCUGAGUGCCGGUCAGAGCACUAAUAAUGAGGAGACAGGAAUUCAGUUUAACGAUUUGUAUUGAUGGUAAAGG